rnacentral:rRNA from 1 species
GUGAACGCUGGCGGUAGGCCUAACACAUGCAAGUCGAACGGCAGCACAGUAAGAGCUUGCUCUUACGGGUGGCGAGUGACGGACGGGUGAGGAAUACAUCGGAAUCUACUUUUUCGUGGGGGAUAACGUAGGGAAACUUACGCUAAUACCGCAUACGACCUACGGGUGAAAGCAGGGGAUCUUCGGACCUUGCUCGUUUGAAUGAGCCGAUGUCGGAUUAGCUAGUUGGCGGGGUAAAGGCCCACCAAGGCGACGAUCCGUAGCUGGUCUGAGAGGAUGAUCAGCCACACUGGAACUGAGACACGGUCCAGACUCCUACGGGAGGCAGCAGUGGGGAAUAUUGGACAAUGGGCGCAAGCCUGAUCCAGCCAUACCGCGUGGGUGAAGAAGGCCUUCGGGUUGUAAAGCCCUUUUGUUGGGAAAGAAAAGCAGCAGGUUAAUACCCCGCUGUUCUGACGGUACCCAAAGAAUAAGCACCGGCUAACUUCGUG